GACGAACCGUGCGAACGUUGUUCGGAAUCACUGGGCUUAAAGGGCGCGUAGGCGGGCCAGCAAGUCAGGGGUGAAAUACUUCGGCUUAACCGGAGAAUGGCUUCUGAUACUGUUGGCCUCGAGGGGUGUAGGGCAUGUGGAACUUCCGGUGGAGCGGUGAAAUGCGUAGAUAUCGGAAGGAACGCCGGUGGCGAAGCGACGUGCUGGACACCUUCUGACGCUGAGGCGCGAAAGCCAGGGAGCAAACGGG
rnacentral:rRNA from 1 species